UGCAAGUCGAGGGGUAACAGGGGACUUCGGUUCUGCUGACGACCGGCGCACGGGUGAGUAACGCGUAUGCAACCUACCUUUAACAGUGGUAUAGCCCGGAGAAACUCGGAUUAACACCACAUAAUACUGUUUUAUUGCAUGAUAAAGCAGUUAAAACUCAGGUGGUUAGAGAUGGGCAUGCGUGACAUUAGUUAGUUGGUGAGGUAACGGCUCACCAAGGCGACGAUGUCUAGGGGGCCUGAGAGGGUGGUCCCCCACACUGGUACUGAGACACGGACCAGACUCCUACGGGAGGCAGCAGUGAGGAAUAUUGCGCAAUGGAGGCAACUCUGACGCAGCCAUGCCGCGUGCAGGAUGACGGCCCUACGGGUUGUAAACUGCUUUUAUACAGGAAGAAACCCAUCUACGUGUAGAUGGUUGACGGUACUGUAGGAAUAAGCAUCGGCUAACUCCGUGCCAGCAGCCGCGGUAAUACGGAGGAUGCGAGCGUUAUCCGGAUUCAUUGGGUUUAAAGGGUGCGUAGGCGGGACAAUAAGUCAGUGGUGAAAUCCUGCAGCUUAACUGUAGAACUGCCAUUGAUACUGUUGAUCUUGAGUUCGGUUGAGGUAGGCGGAAUGUGUAAUGUAGCGGUGAAAUGCUUAGAUAUUACACAGAACACCGAUUGCGUAGGCAGCUUACUAAGCCGAGACUGACGCUGAGGCACGAA
rnacentral:rRNA from 1 species